AUGUYUUAAAGAAAGAUAAUUUUAAGUYGAAUUUGCUCCAUGAUUAAAUUUAAAUAGCUGCAGAAUUUUAACUGUACAAAGGUAGCAUAAUCAAUAGUUUUUUAAUUAAAAGCUGGAAUGAAUGAUUUGAUAAGGUAAUUAUUGUCUCAAAUUUAAUAAAAUUAUAAUUUUUUUUUUAGUUAAAAUACUAGAAAAUAUUUAAAAGACGAGAAGACCCUAUAGAUUUUUAUAUUUAAAAAUUUAAUAAAUUAAAAAUAUAUAAAUAAAAUAUUAAAAAUUAAAAUAUUUGGUUGGGGUAAUUAUUAAAUUAAUAAAAUUUUAAUUAAUUUGAAACAAUAAUUAAUGAAUUUUUGAUCUUGUGUAAAAAAAGUAUAAAUUAAUAGAAUAAAAUACCUUAGGGAUAACAGCGUAAUUUUUUUUGAGAGAUCUUAUUGAUAAAAAAGUUUGCGACCUCGAUGUUGAAUUAAGAUAAAAUUUUAAUGUAGAAGUUAAAAAUUUUUGGUCUGUUCGACCAUUAAAAUCUUACGUGAUCUGAGUUCA
rnacentral:rRNA from 1 species